rfam:Paenibacillus dendritiformis C454 PDENDC1000034, whole genome shotgun sequence.
AUUUCACAAUCGCUGAGUUUCCGCAAGGAAAGCGGGGGAACCAACGGUGCGGCCUGAUCGGUGUGAGAGUCGAUCAGCGGCACAUGGGGUGAAUCCUGAGCGCGGCGCCUAGGGCCGCAUCACUCAGGUAGGGCGACUCUCACCGCCCGAAUCCGACAGCUAACCUCGUAAGCGUUGUUGAGUGCGGCA